rfam:Puniceibacterium sp. IMCC21224 IMCC21224_11, whole genome shotgun sequence.
GGAUCGGGAGGCGUCCGGUGGGACGGGCGCCAUGAAUGGAUCGAAACUCUGCCGUCUCUGAUGGGUGUGCCGCUGUGGCCCGACAGCGCCGCGCG